AUGGAGUGCGGCCAGUGCGGCGCGCGCUUCGCUGUCACACGGGGCGCGAGCUCCGCUCAGUGCGCGCACUGCCGCAGGGCGGCGCGUGUCGAACGGCACGGCGCCGUGCACGGGGCCGUCGGCUUCGUCAGGAACGUGUUCACCAACAUUGGCCGCACGAGGCCGCACCCGGGAUACCCGCCGGUGUACGGCAACAAGCGCGCUCUCUUGGUCGGCAUCAACUACACUGGAACGACGGCCGAACUGCCCGGCCCCAUCAACGAUGUCAAAUGCAUGAGCUUCCUGCUCACCCUCAAGUACGGCUUCCCAAGCGAUUGCAUCCUUGUCCUUACCGAUGAAGAGCGCGACCCGUACAGCAGGCCAACAAGGUCCAACAUCCUAGUGGCGAUGCGGUGGCUGGUGCAUGGAUGCAGCUCCGGGGACUCCCUCGUGUUCCACUUCUCCGGCCACGGCGAUCAGGAGGAAGACAAGGACGGCGACGAGCAGGACGGCCAAGACGAGGCCAUCUGCCCGCUAGACUGGCAGCUCAACGGCGCCAUCCUGGACGACGAGAUCAACGAGGCCAUCGUCCGCCCGCUCGCGCAGGGCGUCACGCUCCACGCCAUCAUCGAUGCCUGCCGCAGCGGCACCGUCCUUGAUCUCCCCAACCUUUUCCAGAUAAAAAAGAACGGGAAACCCCUGUGGAUGGAUCACAGCGCUCCAAAUGGCGCUUGGAAGAACACGAGCGGCGGUCACGCCAUCCUGAUCAGCGGCUGCACUGACGAUGAAGAUGCGCAGGAUGGUUACGGCCAUGAGACCAUGGCCAUGGGAGCCCUGACGUACAGCUUCUUCGCCGCGGCGUGGUUCGCGCAUCGGCCGCCCACCUACGGCUAGCUGCUUCAAAAGACAAAGGCGAUCCUCGUAGACUGCAACCGCGACAGCCAGAUCCACUGCGACCUCCCGGCGUCGAUCUUACCGCACGUCCGAAAGGUGGUGAACUUCAGUGGCGUGCAGGAACCUCAACUGUCUUCGUCCGACAAGUUCGACAUCAACCGGAAGACAUUUAUGCUAUAA
rnacentral:rRNA from 1 species